UUUCUUAUGGUGUAAAUAAGCAUAUAAUUUUUUCGUAAUUAAGAUAGUUUAAGGCUUAGGAAAU
rnacentral:tRNA from 1 species